rnacentral:tRNA from 1 species
GGGCCCGUAGCUCAAUGGCGGAGCAGGGGACUCAUAAUCCCUUGGUUGCAGGUUCGAGUCCUGCCGGGCCCACCA